rnacentral:tRNA from 1 species
GGAUCGUUAGCUCAGUUGGUAGAGCAGACGACUCUUAAUCGUCCGGUCCUUGGUUCGAGCCCAAGACGAUCCACCA